UCUACGGGAGGCAGCAGUGGGGAAUAUUGCACAAUGGGGGAAACCCUGAUGCAGCGACGCCGCGUGAGUGAAGAAGUAUCUCGGUACGUAAAGCUCUAUCAGCCGGGAACAAAAUGACUGUACCUGACUAAGAAGCCCCGGCUAACUACGUGCCCGCAGCCGCUGUCAUACGUAGGGGGCACGCGUUAUCCGGAUGUACUGGGUGUAAAGGGAGCGUAGACGGUAGCGCAAGUCUGGAGUGAAAUGCCGGGGCCCAACCCCGGAACUGCUUUGGAAACUGUGCAGCUCGAGUGCAGGAGAGGUGAGCGGAAUGCCUAGUGUAGCGGUGAAAUGCGUAGAUAUUAGGAGGAACACCAGUGGCGAAGGCGGCUUACUGGACUGUAACUGACGUUGAGGCUCGAAAGCGUGGGGAGCAAACAGGAUUAGAUACCCCUGUAGUC
rnacentral:rRNA from 1 species